GUAAGGCUCCWRCUUGCUGGGGUACACRAGUGGCGAACGGGUGAGUAACACGUGGGUGACCUGCCCUGCACUUCGGGAUAAGCCUGGGAAACUGGGUCUAAUACCGGAUAGGACYGCACCGUGAGGGUGUGGUGGAAAGUUUUUUCGGUGUGGGAUGGGCCCGCGGCCUAUCAGCUUGUUGGUGGGGUAAUGGCCUACCAAGGCGGCGACGGGUAGCCGGCCUGAGAGGGUGGACGGCCACAUUGGGACUGAGACACGGCCCAGACUCCUACGGGAGGCAGCAGUGGGGAAUAUUGCACAAUGGGCGGAAGCCUGAUGCAGCGACGCCGCGUGGGGGAUGACGGCCUUCGGGUUGUAAACUCCUUUCACCAUCGACGAAGGGUUUCUGACGGUAGAUGGAGAAGAAGCACCGGCUAACUACGUGCCAGCAGCCGCGGUAAUACGUAGGGUGCGAGCGUUGUCCGGAAUUACUGGGCGUAAAGAGCUCGUAGGUGGUUUGUCGCGUCGUCUGUGAAAUUCCGGGGCUUAACUCCGGGCGUGCAGGCGAUACGGGCAUAACUUGAGUACUGUAGGGGAGACUGGAAUUCCUGGUGUAGCGGUGAAAUGCGCAGAUAUCAGGAGGAACACCGGUGGCGAAGGCGGGUCUCUGGGCAGUAACUGAC
rnacentral:rRNA from 1 species